rnacentral:lncRNA from 1 species
UCGAAAGUAAUAAAGUUGGCCUGUAAAGAAGAAUAUCAAGGUUAGAAAUCCCGUUAUAACAAAUAAGUAGAGAGCAAGGAAUCAGAAAGCAAAUACAGUACCGCUGCCGCGUCAUGCAUGGAACUUUUCCACAAAUCCUCCCCCGAAAGGGAGCGUAUCUUCUUCUUAUCUUUCUCUAAAGACAACGGCUUCAGAUAGUUCGCAAGCUCCACCGACCUGGACAGUAGAUGGCAUCCCUUUGAAAUCGAAAAAGUGGUACUUCUUCUCCCUCGGGGAUCUGGGGAAGGGGUUGAGUAAUUGUGCCCCAAAUUCCCAUGGUCUGGAGACCGGGGAUGAGAAGCACCCUCCUCUUGAGUAUCUGUUACCGGUGGAGGAGAUGCAGUGGGUGCUGGUGGUGAAGGUGCAACUGGUGCAGAGGGGAGUGAAGUCGUUGGCGUUGAAGGUUGAGAAGCAGCUGCAACGGGAGCAACACUGAUUAUUGGUUGCUCGGUAACCGAAGGUAGAAGAGGCCUGUGGUUCGAGCUCAUGGGACCAUAAAUAGCAACAGGGGUCGGAAAGCAAGAAUCGACAUCCUCUACUAUCUCCAUUUCACCCCAAAGUGAUCAGACCUCACCUUCAAUCGGGGUUUGAUGCUCUCCCGAUUGAGCAUCCGGUUGAGCUGAUGAAGAUCAUUUUCUCCUUUGAAGGGAAGCCUCUUCAUCACUAGCUUCCCCUUCAUCUUCAAUGACCACUGUGACCAUGACAGGCUCAUUCGUGGCCUUCUUUAUUUUCUUAUUUUGAGUCCCAGUCAAGGAAGAAUGCCACCUUUUUGGUUGCUUGUUCUCUGGCUGGGGACUCCGAGAGGAAGCACUAUCACCGGGAGCAGAUCCGAGGGUACUGCUUCGAGCAAGGGCAUUUUGUAGCACCCGCGCAGCUUCUGCGAGGUCAACCAAAAUAUUUACUUCGAGGCAGGUGACAGAGCCCUGCGGGAGUCAUGAAUCAAGCAAAAAUUGCAGUUAGCGAAGGUUACUUGUGUUCAUUCAAAUAUGAAAGGAAGAAGGGCUCAGUUUACCAUGGUUUUUGGCCUUCUAUCCAUACUUGGGAUCCAUUUCCUUCCACCGACAGGUUUCUAGCAUUGUAAUAUCCAGAAUCUUCUAAACCUACUGGUCCAGGCCUUGAAACCAUGGUGGUGUCCACCGGCUAGCUAAAACAAUGAAAACAAAGAGGACAACAAUGGCGGGAAAUGACAUUUUUAUGAAGGAAAGAGUGAAUAAAUUACAAACUUACAAGAACGAUUACAUAAUUCAGGAAAAGAUGGAGUUGUGGCAGGGAUGAUAUCCCUGGUAGCGAUGAUGACAAACUGCUCUAUCCAUCCAUGGUCACUGUCAUCAUCCACGUUGGUGAGAAGGGCGUGAUGGCCUAUUAUUGCCGUGCAGCCUGAGGAUUGGCCCGCCAUGUCAGCUGAUGAGUUGAAAAGACUGGAUAAGUUUACCAAGUUGCAUCCUCCUCACUUCAAUAGUACACCUUCAGAGGAUGCCUAGGAAUUCUUGGAUCGUUGUCAUGAGAUUCUGCGCAAUUUUAGUUUAGUCCAAUGGAGUUGACUUUACCACCUUUCAGAUGCAAGGUCCGGCCAGGAGGUAGUGGUAGGUCUAUGAAAUGGGAAGACUAGUAGGAUCACCUCCUCUUACCUGGGCUCAAUUCUCCAGGGUCAUUUUGGAGCAUUUCAUACCCUGCACUAGGAGAGAGGAGCUGUAGAGGUAGUUUGAGUACCACCAGUAGGGUCCAAUGUCAAUGACUGAGUAUGAUAUAAGGUUCACGGAGCUAUCUUAUCAUGCUGCAGUUUUGAUACCCACUAAGGAGGAGAGAGUGAGGAUAUUUAUUGAUGGUCUUCACCAUGGUAUUCACAUUGCUUUGGCUAGAGAGGUAGAGAGCGGGAUAACAUUUCACCAGGUUGUUGAGAUAGCGCAUCAUAUUGAGCGCAUUUGCAUUGGGACCAGGGAGAUGAUAUGGGGUAUAGACAAGAGGUCUCGACGUUUAGGGAGUUUCAUUGGUGCCCCAUUUGGAUGCCAAGGUUGAUUCCGAGGAGGCCAUUCUAUCAGGCCAACUUAUCAUUCACCGCCACCCAAUCGGGAAGCUUCCAUGCUAUUUAAUUAAGUACACUUUCAAUAUAGAGUCCUCAUCGCUCUCCAUCUCUUCAGGAUUCAUAAGUACCCGAUUCUUCUAGUGGCUAUUUUGUUUCACGGGGUUUGACUCAGGCCCAAUAAUUAUUUCCAGUUAGAGGUAGCUACGAGUGUAGAGAGUUGGGGCAUGCCAGGAAGUUUUUCCCUAAUCUUCGUAGAGGUCUAGUGCAACAAGGAGGUCCGGCUAUGGUUCCUGCACUGGUGUUUACACCACCCACUCAACUAGCUUGGGGUGGAGGCCAUCUAGGAUGUGGUUGCCCUAGACGGAAAACUUAGUCUAGUGGAGGUCAGGCCAGGUGCUAUGCAUUUCCAUGGAGGACCGAGGUUGUUACCUAUGAUGCUAUGAUUACAUGUAUUGUUUUUGCCUGCAACAAGGAUUCUUAAGUAUUGUUUGAUCCUGGUUGCACUUAUUCAUGUGUUUCAUCAUACUUCUCUUCUUGUCUGGAUAUUCCUCGUGAUUCUAUUGAUGCUCCUGUGCAUGUGUCUACACGUGUUGGUGAUUCAUUAUGGUGGAUCGAGUAUAUCGGUCCUAUGUGGUCACUAUUUGUGGUUUUGCGACGAGGGUGGAAUUUCUAUUGUUAGAUAUGGUGGAUUUUGAUGUGAUCUUGUGUAUGGAUUGGUUAUCUCCGUAUCAUAUUAUUCUAGAUUGUCAUGCUAAGACUGAUGUUGGCGAUGCUGGGAUUGCCGAGGUUGGAGUAGACAGGUUCUCUUGGUUCCACUCCUAGUAGAGUGAUCUCGUUUUUGAAGGCUCAACAGAUGAUUGAGAAGCGAUGUUUAGCAUAUUUAGCCUUUGUGAGAGAUGUUAGCACUGGAACUCCUAUUGUUGAGUCAGUUCUAGUAUGGAGGGAGUUUUUGUAUGUGUUUCGAGUAGACCUACGGGGAAUUCCACCCGAUAGUGAUUUUUUUCCAGCAUUGAUUUGGAACUUGGCAUGCAUCUAUCUCUAUUCCUCCAUAUCACAUGGCUCCAACGGAGUUUAAGUAAUUGAAGGAACAUUUGCAAGAGUUAUUGGAUAAGGGGUUCAUCAGGCCUAGUGUUUCACCUUGGGGUGCACCGAUGUUGUUUGUUAACAAGAAGGAUAGGGGAAUAUGUAUUGACUAUCGGCAGUAGAACAAGUUCAGCAUCAAGAACAAGUAUCCAUUUUCGUGCAUUGCUGACUUAAUUGAUUAGAUUUAGGGUUCUAGAGUGUUCUUGAAGAUUGACUUGAGAUCAGUAUAUCACCAAUUGAAAAUUAGGGCUUCGGACAUCCUUAAGACUGCUUUCUGGACUCGCUAUGGGCAUUAUGAGUUUUUGAUGAUGUCGUUUGGGUUGACUAAUUGCCCAGCAGCUUUCAUGCACUUGAUGAACAUUGUGUUCCAGCCUUAUUUGGAUUCAUUUGUCAUUGUGUUCAUUGAUGUUAUGUUGGUGUAUUCCCGACGUAGGGAGGAGCAUGAGCAGUAUUUGAGGAUCGUGCUCCAGACUUUGAGGGAGAAGAAGAUAUAUGCUAAGUUCUCCAAGUGUGAGUUUUGGUUAGACUCAGUAGAAUUCUUGGGUCAUGAGGUAUCUAGUGAUGGGAUCAAGGAAUAAGAUUGAAGUAGAUUAGAGUUGGCCCAGACCUUCUAUCACUAUAGAGAUCAGAAGCUUCUUGUGUUUUGGCUGGUUGCUACCGUCACUUCGUAGAGGGAUUUAAUCUAUUGCCGCCUCAUUGACUAAGUUGACUCAGAAGGGCGCUCCAUUCAAGUGGUCAGAUGAGUGUGACAAGAGCGUUUAGAAGCUCAAGACAUUUAUGACUACGGCUCCUGUGUUGGUUUUCCUUCAGGAUCGAGAUCAUAUACAGUUUAUUGUGAUGCUUUUGGGUUGGCAUAGGGUGUGUAUUGAUGCAGGAUGGUAGAGUGAUUGCCUACAUGUCGCGCUAGUUGAAGCCCCAUUAGAAGAACUAUCUAGUGCAUGAUUUAGAGUUAGCAACUAUGUUCACGUGCUCAAGAUUUAGAGGCAUUACUUAUAUGGUGUGUCUUGUGAGGUGUAUACAUAUCAUGAGAGUCUUCAACAUCUAUUCAAGUAAAAGGAUUUGAACUUGAAACAACAAAGGUGGUUAGAGUUAUUGAAAGACUAUGAUAUCACCAUUCUUUAUCAUUCGGGGAAGGCCAAUGUGGUAGCAGAUGCCAUGAGUAGAAAGGCAAAGAAUAUGGGGAGUUUAGCAUUUAUUCCCACUGGUGAGAGGCUUUUGGCUAUGGAUGUUCAGGCUUUGGCCAACAUGUUCGUGAGAUUGGAUAUAUCGGAGCCUGAGAGGGUUCUUGCUUGUAUUGUAUCUCAGUCAUUCUUGUCUGAGCGCAUUAAGGAUCGUCAGUAUGAUGAUACCCAUUUACUUGUCCUUAAGGACACGGUGCAACGAGGUGGUGCUAACGAAGUGUCUAUUGGUUAUGAUGUUGUAUUGCAUCUUUAGGGAUGGAUUUGUGUUCCUAAUGUGGAUGGCAUGAGAGAGUUGAUUCUUGAGAAGGCUCAUAGUUCGUGAUAUUCUAUUCAUCCAGCUUCUGCAAAGAUUUACGAUGAUUUGAAGCAGCAUUAUUUGUGGCAGAGGAUGAAGAAAGACAUUGUUGGAUAUAUUCCUCGGUGUUUGAAUUGUCAGCAGAUCAAGAAUGAGCAUCAGAGACCUGAUGGGUUACUUCAGAAGAUUGUGAUACCAGCGUGAAAGUGGGAGCGCAUCACUAUGGACUUUGUGGUAGGUUUGACAUGGAAUUGAAGAGAUUUGACGAUAUUUGAGUCAUUGUGGAUAGACUGACCAAGUCUGCACAUUUUAUUCCAGUCAUGACUUCUUACACUUCAGAGCAGUUGGCUAAGAUCUACAUCAGGGAGAUUGUCCAUUUGCAUGUUGUGCUUGUGUCUAUUAUCUCGGAUUAAGGCCCUCAGUUUACUUUGCACUUCUGGAGAAGCCGUUCAUCAUGAUUUGGGCAUGCAGAUUAAGUUGAACAUCACAUUUCACCCUCAGACGGACGGGCAGUCCGAGCGGACCAUUCAUAUUUUGGAGGAUAUGCUGAGAGCCUGUGUCAUAAAUUUCGGAGCCUAUGUCACUUAUUUGAGACCUCGAAUAAGUCUGUAUUAUGUUUUGGGACUGUUUGGUAUAUUUGGACAGGGUACCAAGGGGCUUAGGAGUGUUUCAUAUAGAUUUCGGAUCAUUUGAGCUUGGUUGGAUUGCUGAAUUACUGCUGGUGUCUGGUGUGCUUUGCGAUCGCAGAGCAGGUCACGUGAUUGCAAAGGCUUAUUUUAGGCAAUAGUAUUUUUGUUCUUUGCAUUCGCGUAAGUGUUGGGUCUGGUGGUCUUCAUGUUCGCGAGCGAAGGCUCGCGUUCACGUAUGAUGAGUAGCUGGUUAGGAGUCGGUUGGGUUUAGCCUUCACGUCCGCGAAGGCAUGGGCAUGUUUACAUAGGUUGGGGAUACGACUGCAUCACAUUCGCGGGUGGCAGACAGCCGUCGCGAAGAGUAUUUUUGGACCAAGGGCUGUUUGUGCUUCGUGAACACGAGGCUUGGGCCGCGUUCGCGAAGGGUAUCACUGGGCAGAAUUAUAAGUUGUCUUAUUUCAGGACUUAGACCCAUUAUUUCAUAUUUUGAGCCUGGACUUGGGGAAGAGCAAUUUUAGAAGAGGAGUAUCACACAAGGCAAGAGGUAAGUGAUUUCUACUUGAUUUUAAUAUUUUAUCUUGAUUACCCAUGGAUUAUUACACAUAGAUUAUGUGGUUUGAAUGAGAAAUUUGAGGAUUUUGACUAUGGUUUUGGAUAGUGAAAAAUGGAAAUUUGAACCUCGAAUCGGAGUCGGAAUUGGUUGAAACUUGUAUAUUUGGACUUAUAUUCGAAUGGGUAGUCAGGAUUUGUGACUUUGGUCGAGUUCCGGGAGGCGAGCACGGGUUAAAUUUUUGCAGUUUGAUAAAUAUUGGAGCUGUAUUACUUUGAAUCGAUUUCAAUAGCCAUUUUUGACGUUAUUGAGUUAUUUUUGGCUAGAUUUGACCCGUUCGGAGGCCGAUUCGAGUGGCAAGGGAUUUUUGGAGUAUUGAUUCUCACUCUUUGAAGUAAGUAUCUUACCUAGGCUUGGCUUGAGGAUAUUCUUCUCGUAGAUUACAAUGCUUGUUAUGUGUUGGGGUUGACACACGUCCAUGGUGACGAGCGUAUAUGUAUGCACUGUGGUUAUUCAUUAUCCGGGUAGGCUUUAGGCUACUAUGUGCCUUGUUUUGCUAUCACGCCUUCGUGUUAUCGUGUUUUCCCUAUUUUUAUGACUACUGAUCUAUUAUUCAUGUUAGAAAUCAUGUCUAGGCUAUGUGCUUAUUUGUUUGAGGCAUGAUAUGGCUAUUUUACUAUGUUGAGCUGUUUGCCUUGAUUAUAGUCAUACUUUCUUUAGUCAUGAUAUUAUAUCCGCAUGUUAUAUCAUUAGUUAUGUAUACUUCUUACCUAUUAUCUCACGUGUUGUUGGUUUCCUUACUUGAGUACUACGGGUUUGAGUGGAUUUGUGGCACGUUGGUACAAUUUGUGCAUUAAAUUGAUUUCUGAUAUUGUGAGACGUUGGAAUAUUAUGAUUUGAGCGAAUUAAUGUCUGAACUAGGGCCAUAGAGUUGUAUAAAUAUUUAUAUUGAGGUGACGCAUAUGCCAAACCCCCUUUUUGGGCUGAGUGGUAUUGAUAUUGAGGUGACGCAUGUGCCAAGCCAUUGGAUUGAGUUAUGAUAGUUGAAUUUUGAUCCGAUCAUGCGCUAGGGCUAGGAUCCACCCCUCAGAAGUCAGGCGAUAACCCAUACUACUUUGUCCAUGUGAGUGUAGGCUCUUAGUAUGUGCUAAGUGAGAGGAUUUAUGUCAGGCACCCGUACAAUGCUGAGAUUGUUCUUAUUUGAUAAUCUAACUGUGAAUUCGUUGAUUUUUGCAUUGUUACUCCUCAUGCAGGCAUAGAGACGCAUCUUCCUCAUGCUAAUUGAUGUUUUAUAUCUUGAGAUUGAUGAAUUCAUUUAUUUGAUUGGAAAGUGAGCCUAUUUCCUAUUAAUGUGGAUAAGUUGAACUUGCUAUUCUUGAGUUGCUUUCCCUUUUUUAUUUUCUUACUAUUAUGCUAUUAUUAUUACUGUUGACUGUUGAAAGUGAGUAGCGGACUUUGCCAAUCUUGUCACUUUCUUCAAUCCGAGGUUAGGCUUGCUACUUAUCGAGUACAUGAGGUCAGUUGUACUCAUACUACACUACGCACUUUAUGCACAGAUUCAGAUGUUGCUGAUAGAGCUGAUUGUUAGAGAGUUGCACCGGUACCCAUUGGUGAUUUCAAGGUAGCACUGCUAUUUCCGUCUGCAGGCCUUGGAGUCCCUUCCUUUACUUUUGUUGCUACCUCUUAUGUACUUCUAAUAGCAUUGUAUCGUUAUUCAGACUUUUGUACUUAUUUAUUAUAUAGAGCUCAUGUAUUUGUUGCCACUAGGUUCUGGGAUAGUAUUUCAGCUGUGUCGCUAUAUUACUACAAUUAUUUACCAUAUUCUGCUUUUGAGACUAUUCCUUAUUGUUAUUGAAGUUGUUUUUUGUAUAUUGAAUAUUAGCUUGCUUAGCAAGCAGUGGUAGGCAUCGUUACGACUUUGGUGAGAUUUGGGGUCAUCACACACGUGGUCAUACAAUGGAUUAUAAAUGUAUCAUAGAGAGCACACAAUCAAAUUAAGGUAUAAUAGAAGCCUAGAAUCUAAUCCGAUCAUACUUCAUAUAUAGCACCCGUAUAUACGCUCGCCACCUUGCAUAUAUGUUACUUUACAGACAUAACAAUUAAAAAAAUAAGGUCCAAACCUAAGGGUUAUUCUCUCACACAAGAUUAGGCAAGAUACUUACCUCAACAAGAAAAAAUACUCUAGUGUUAAAGAAUACAUACCUAUUGAUUGCUGCAGAGUUUUGUAUAAACUAAUAGCUAAAGUGCUAGCUAAUACGUUACAAAAAGUUAUUGCUUAAAUUGAUUAUGAUACUCAGGCAAGUUUUAUACCAGGCAGAAGGUAGCAGAUAAUGUCCUACUGGUUCAUGAGUUAGUUAAAGCCUAUUCUAGGAAAAAUAUAUCUCCAAGGUGCCUCAUCAAGGUAGACAUUUAGAAGGCUUAUGAUACAAUUGAUUGGAGGUACUUGCAUCAAGUUCUAGAAGGCCUAGGCUUUCUAGACCAAUUCAUUAAAUGAAUCUUAGAGUGUGUCAAUUGUUAAUUAUACUAUUCUCAUUAAUAGGGAGACUACCAAACUAUUUGAUGCGGCUAGAGGACUCAGGCAAGGAGACCCCAUGUCUCCCUUUCUCUUCGCCAUAACAAUGGAAUAUCUGAGCAAUAAUUUAAAGACACUCAAGUAGGAGAAGGCUUUUCACUAUCACCUCAUGUGCUUAAAGCUUGAUCUGACGCAUUUGAGCUUUGCUGAUGAUCUCCAAUUAUUCACAAGAAGGGAUGCUACUUCUAUUGCUCUUCUACAUAGAAAAUUUAAUACUUUUUCAGAAGCAUCUGGACUUAAAGCAAACCUGGCCAAAAGCUCAAUAUACUAUGGAGGGGUUAGUACUGAAUUGAAGCAAGAGAUACAACAGACUUUGGGAUAGAGUCAAGGGUCUCUUCCUUUCAAAUAUUUAGGCAUACCACUUGCCACUAAGAAGCUUUUAGUGAUGCAAUGGCAACCACUUAUUGACAAAAUAAUGGCCAGAAUCUCUUCAUGGACAACAAAGAAACUCUCUUAUGCUGGUAGAAUUCAAUUGGUUCAAACUGUGAUCUUUGGCAUACAAGAUUACUAGGCUCAAAUUCUUAUCAUUCAUGCUUAAGUCAUUAAAGCAAUUGAAGCCUAUUGUAGAAACUAUGUUUGAUUAGGGGUGAAUACAAUAACCAAAAAAUCCUUGGUUGCUUGGGAUAGGAUGUGUUCUCCAAGAGCUGCAGGGGGCUAAAUCUGAUCAACCUGGAUUUGUAGAACAAAGCUGCUAUAACCAAAACCUUCUGGGAGAUGGAAAACAAAAAAGACAAGCAUUGGAUCUAAUGAAUCCAUAGCUAGUACAUCAAAAAAUAGGUUUUUACUAGCAUGGGAGUACCAAAACAAGCAUGUUGGAUGGUUAGAAAAAUAUUUGAGGCAAGAAGUAAUCUGAGACUUAUUAAUAGUAGGCAGGAUCAACAUAACACUGUUAUCAAACAAAUGUAUCUGCAACUGCUAGGGACCCUGCAAAAAGUGCCAUGGAAAAGUUUGAUGUGCUAGAAUCAAGCAAGACCAAAAGCAAUCUUCAGUAUGUGGCUUCAGGUCCAAGAAAGAAUUCUAGCUGCAAAUAGACUAAAGAACUUUUGGUAUCCAAAUAGAUGAUACAUGCUGCUUUUGCCAACAAAUGCCUGAAAUAAGGGAUCACAUUUUUGCUGAAUGUGGGUAUGGCAGAAAUCUAUGGAACAGGCUCUUGCAUUGGCUUCAAAUUUAGCAUCCUUUUACAGGAUCUUGGCAUGUUAGAUAGCAAUGGAUUGUAAUGAAGUCCAAGGGAAGAUCACAGAUGGCUAGGAUGCUCAAGCUAGUCUAUACAGAAUACAUCUACACAAUGUGGAUCGAGCGAAUUCAAGGAUCUUUGAACAAGCUACUGCAUGGGAGGUCCUAGCUAGGGAUGGCUUGUAUAUGCAACAUUAGAGCUGAAGGACAUACACAUGUUCUACUAAGUAAAUGUAAAUAAUAAGUCAUUAGCACUUUGAGAUCAAUUGUGUAAAGAAGGCUAAAAGCAUAGGAAGUGCAGGUUUAUGUAAUGUUUUUCCAGUUUUUUCUUUGAAGAAGGUCGUGGUGAUCUGCUCUUCUUUGUAAAUAUUUACAUUGGUAGUUAAUACAAAAUGUUUAAUUAGCAAAAAAUUGACUUUCCCUUAGAAAUCACCUCCAACCGCUCGAAUCAAGCCAAAAAAUAACUCAAUAACGUCAAACAAUGCUAUAGGAAUCAAUUUCAAACAAUAAAGCUUCAAUUUUUAUUCAAUACCCAAAAAGUCAAAAAAUAUAACUCCGAGCCCACAUGGUCAAAAUCAAUCGUUGCAAAUAUGAAGCCCCUUUCGCAAAAGCGGACAUCGUAAUUGCGACACCAUCUUCAAAAAGGCAAAGCCUUCCUUCUUAGCUACAUAUCACAAAUGCGGAACUUGCAAAUGCAAGCAGAACAUCGCAAAUGCGAUGUCUGCCGCACCAACAAAAUUUGCACUUUCCAAAAUCAAUCUGAAACCAAUCCAAAACUCACCCGAACACCUCAGGCCCCACUCCGAAUAUCCAUACAAGUAUAUAAACCUCAUAUGAACUCGCUCGUAAGCUAAAAAUACCAAAAUAAUAUCUACAACCAUGACUCAAGCACUAAAACACAUGUAGCAUAUUUUCAAGUUCAAGAAAUUCAAACAUUCACAACCGAGCAUCCGAUUCAUGCCUAACUAACUCGGAAUGCAACCAAACUUUGCAAAAAAGUUUGAAAUGACAAAACACACCUAUUCUAAGUCCCGAAACAACAAUGUGAACCUGAUAGCAUCAAAGUCAACUCCCGGUCAAACUAUUAAACUUUCCAAACCUUCAAAUUGCCAACUUUCGGUAAAUAGAGCCCAAACACCCUAGGUACCUCCAAAUCCAAAUCCGAACAUACGCCUAGGUCUAAAAUCACCAUAUGAACGUAUUGGAAAAAUCAAAUCACGAUCCAAGGUCAUUUAUACAAAUAUCUAACCUUGGUUAACUCUUACAACUUAAGCUUCCAAAAAUGGAACUAAGUAUUCCAAUUUACUCCAAAGCCUUCUCGGAACCAAACGAACCAUCCCUACAAGUCAAAAAAUGACAAUCAAGCAUACGGGAAAUAGCAAAUAGGAAAACGCAGUUCAAAUGCACAAAUCUGACCAGGUCAUUAUAAAUGGAGGAAACUAGACACAAAAGAUGAUAUGUAUAAAUAUAUCAAAGUUUGAAGUUCACAAUUUUCAAUAAGCGUGAAUGAUAUUUCAUAUUUUUUACACAAACCUAAUUGCACAAAAUUUGUAGGAAAAAUAUGACAUUCACGAGGACGCAAAAACACGGGCUUUUGAUUCAACACAGGUUGUUUGGAGAAAGUAUAAAAAUCAAUUAAGAAAAGACCACUUUGAAGCCUAUGUCAAUGACAUGAUUUGAAUGGAGAGUAGGUCGAUAGAUAUGUAGGAAUCUCACUUUAAGAAUCUUCUUAACUAUUGGAACUCUGAUUCCCACAAGGUAAACUUGAUAGCGAUGAGCUCUUCAAAAUUGUUCUUUAAAUAUCAGUAUAUGCUUUCCUUAGAAAAGUGUUUACCCUCAAAAUCGGAUAACAAUUGAAUUUGGAAGUGGUUUUAAGGAUAAGUGGACUAACUUGACACAAAACAGAUAAAUUAGAUUGCAAUUGAAAUAAAUAAUGAUAAAGUAAAUGCAAACCACACGAAUUGAACAGUCUUAGCCUUGGAAGGUUAAUCACCCUCGAGCCAGGUACGCUUCGAUUAGUGUCAGGACAUAGAAGAACAAGAGCUUAAAGAGAAGUAAUAAUGAUGUAUUACUUUGGAAUGCAUGUUACAAUGUGUUCAUAUAUUUAUCAGACCCCCCUUUAUAUAGUAGAUGAGUCCUACUUUAGGUACAAUUCUAUAAAAGGUAAAAAUCCCUUGAUUUGUGGAUCGCCGAUUCCUUACUGAUACGCGCCGAGAUUUCCGCCGCAACAUCUGCCCGGUUACGAUAUUUCGAUCUUCUGUUGGUUAUGCUAACAAUGUUUCUUGGAGCUCGUUCGGGACUAGAGUCAACUCCGGGGUCUCGGACUCAAUGUUCUCGAAGGCAGGUAUCCUGACCCCGGGUUCUAGCCCGGUGUGACUCGGGGACGAUUUUUAGUCUUGCAUUGUCAUAUUUUGAGUCGUCCUUUCAUGUCGUAGGAAAACUCGAUCUUGCCCGUAUACAAAUAGUACCCUUAUUUUUCGGAGAGAAGAUGACGAGAAACGACAUGAGCUUUCAAUUUUUUAUUCGACACCACAUGACAGAAACAGCAAAACAGUCAAAACGUCCCGUCAGUAAAGUCUUAAUGGGAUUAAAUGUUUGUCAGUUGCUGGUCGGCCACUCCUGGAUAUGAACCGUUGUUGAAAAACUAUAAAUACCCUCUCAUUUGCUCAUUCAAACUUUACAUUCAAACCUUCUGCCCUCGUACCUUAGCAAUAUUAAUAUUUUUAGGCACUUAUAUUUUGGUUAUUUGAGAUCGUUUUAUAAGAACUUCUAUUCUGUCUUCAUUCCAACUCAUCAAGUGUACUCUUUUAACUUCCUCUUCUUCCUCUUUUUUUUCAUUCAUUUUCAAUAAAAUGGCGAAGACUUCAAAAAUCGUUCCCCAAAAAGAAACUCCUACCUCGCGGCCCGAAGAGAUCGUUUUGCAUACUGUUAUCGAGGAACCAGUACCAGAACCUCCUUUAAAAUUUUUCAUCCCCCCCCGGGGGGAGGGGGAAGGGGGGAGGGUUCCCGGUCAACGCUGAUUUUAAGGUUGAAAAGCCCUCCUCCACACCGGGCCGGUGCGAGGUAGUCUCGCGGUACAUCUGCUCGAUCACCGAGGAUGUUCUCUCCGAAGUCAAAAAGGAUUGUAACUGAGUUGACAAACAUGUGGUGGUUCCUGAACCCGACGAGGCCAUCACCACCCAUGUCGAGGGAUUUUUAAGUGUUUACACUUAUCCCUUCAUGCUGGGCCCCUUGGAUCCGGUUAUCAUCUACUUUUGCAAAAGAUACGAGGUAACCCUCGGUUAAAUUCACCCUUCUUUCUGUAGGAUCGUAAUCCUCCUCCGUUUCUUUAUAAGCAAGAUCGAAGUGUGCCCUUUCACUAUCGAACACCUCAUGCAUUUGUACGGUCCCCGACUCUACUGGGGGGACUGAUCAAGCUCGCCCGUCGGGCUAGUAAGGCCUCAUUCUUGAGUAUCGAUAAAGAUAGGGAUCGAGGUUGGCUAGGCAAUUUCGUCUGAGUGAGGACUUCAGACUUGAUCCCGGCCGAGCACAUGCCGUCCCCUAAGAAGUGAAACAUGUCACGUUAGUAUAAAUUUUCUUCCAAAAUUUAAUUUAUCAUUUUUUUCCUUCAUUCUUAUCGGUGUUCUGUGGUGGUGCAACUGUUGCUCAGGUCCCAAAUGCAGUUCCUCGACUCAAGGAGUGGGUCAAGGGCAUCGUAUUAAAAAGGCCUUAUUCCGAGUGUUCAUGGCGCGAGCUUUCAAAGGGACGAUGGGAGGCCCGUUCGCACGGUGAGAUCUCUUUCAUGAGUAAUAUUUGGUUUUCCUUUUGCAUCAUUAAGUCCUCACUUGUCUUAUUUCCUUUUGCAGGUUUAUCCAAGUAUGUCAAAAUGAGGCCCCCAUCCGGUAGCGAUGAUUUGCCCAUCGAGUCCCCUGCUCCGAGACAGGGUGAAGAGAAGAAAAGAAAAAGGGCUCCGAGUUCUCCGAGCUCGGAGAAGAAGAAGCCAAGGAGAAGGUUGGUGUGUAAAUCCAAAGAAAGCACCAGCGCUCGAGCACCAUCUUCGGAUUCUCUCUAUCGGCUGAGGGAUGAAUCCGAAAAAGAACAAGAAGAAGAAGACUUCAAUCUGGUGGCUCGAGUGUCGUCACGACUCGAAGGUGAAUCCGAAACCGGAGAGAGAUGAGGCCGAUCUUCCUCAAGUUAGGGAGGCUGACGAAGAGGCCGUGGCCGAAGCUUCUCAGGAUGUGGGUGACACCCUAAAGGAAGCACAUGGUGUGAUCAACAUCACCGAGUCUCCUUCGUUCACUGAGUCCAUGUACAACGAGGCUCAGACGGUGAAGGAACGUUCCAACGAGGGGGUCCUCGGAGCGGACAACCCCUUCCGCGGAUUUUUUGAUGGCAUAGAUUCUACUUCCACGGAGGACGUCACCGAGUUGGGUGACUUGGAGGUUCCGAAGAAAAGUCCGUCUUCGGGAACAAGCAGGCCUUCUUCAAGCCCGAAGCUGGUCAAUCGGUUUCCAGCUCCGAGUGUGGAUCCCGACCGGAAGCGAUUGAUCGUCAUCUCCAUUCUGGAGGAUGCCCGGAUCCUUUCCGCCCCCGUAGAGGUGGCCAGCAAUCUUCGAUGCUUGGUGACCGAGGAGGACCAAGCUAAGAUGAAUGAUGUAGAUGCGCCCUGCCUGUUCAAUGAAGCACAACAUGCGCUAAACUGGGUAACUUUAAAUAUCUCUUGAUGAUUUCAAUUCAUACUUAGACUAUUUUGUAGAUAAUCUUAACAUUUUUCUUUGUAUCUGCAAGCCUCGGUGCUUCAUCAUGAGACCUUUCUCCGAUAUUGGGAUAAGAUAAAAUAGCUUGAGGCCGAGGUCCGAGGGCUCACUGAGAAGAGAGAUUCUUACAAACUUCUCAGCGAGCAGCGUGAGGGGGAGGCUCAGAGCCUCCGAGCUGAGAUGGAGGUAGCUCGGAAGGAGCGUGCCGAUUUGGUUGAGCAGAUAAAAAUAUUUGAGGUUAAUGACGAUGAACUAGGCUCGGUGACUAACGAUCGAAAUCCGCAGGUCCAACAAAAAAUUGAUCGGAUCGAACAACUGCGAGCUGAGAUGGAUGCUGUCAAGGCCGAGACCGACGAAUGGAGGGGCAAGACAGACCGCCUGGCCUCGAAAAAGGAGACUACUCGGGCGCAACUGGAUUUAGCUGAGGUCCAGCUUCGAACGGCAAAAGAAAAGGCCGAGGUUCAGGCCAAAAGGGUUUGGGAGAUCCAAUCUCAGCUAAGUGUAGCUGUCUCCGGUCGAGAAAAUCUUGCCAAGGAGCUAGAAAUGGCCAUGUCGGUGGUCAUUGUUGUUAAAGCCGAUGCCGACAAAAUGGUGGCCCAAUAUAAGGCCGAUGCCGAGGCAGCCCAGGUCCGAACGAAAGAUAUCGUCGAGCAUGUGAAGUGGAAAUCUUGAAGGGACGCCCUCGAGGAGAUUCAUGCUUUGGGUUUUGACUUGUCGAAAGAAAUCGAGAGUGCUAAGGGGCUCGAAGUCGAGGCCAAGAGGUUGGCUUAUCACGAGGAAGAAUCUGAGGGUUCGAGCGGAUCCGAGGGUGGAGGAGACUCCGAAGACCCUGGCGACGAAGCGGGCUCCGGUGAAGACUAGGCCGUUUAAGUGUCAUGUACAUUUUUUGUAUUUUUGUACUUAUGUACUUUUGAACUUUUUGUCAAGGCCGUUUGGCCUUUGUAAAGACUUUACGUAUAUAUAAUAUAAAUCUUGUUUUUCCCUUCGGCAAUCUCUGAGUUUUGUUGUGUACUUUGCUUUAUUAUUUAUGUUUGCAAAGAUCGAAAUGCCUUAGCAUGAGAUAGUUAGGUCAUGUUCGGAGAUUCAAACAAGCCUUGCCUUCGAUAUUAUUUUAUUUAAGGCAUCAUGGGGGUUUGGUAUGACCGGAAACGUUUCCCCAAAGUACUUAUAAUUUUUAGAUUAUAGUUUGCCGAGGGUAGCCUUUAGAACCGGUUUUGAAAAUUUUUAAGGCCUUGUUUUUUAUUGCGGGUCACGGACAUCUCCGAGCUAUUUUAAUAUGGCCAUAGCCUUCUUGGUUCGGGUGUUGCCCAGUGGGAUUUUCACCUCGAGUUAUCCGGGAUUGCCUAAGAUAACAGUCCCUGAAUGGGGAUAGCCGUAGCCUUUAAGGUUCGGGCGCUGCCUAAUAGGUCUUGUGCCCCCGGGCUCCGAUAGCCCAAGCGGUCCGAGUUUGUUUUUGGAGGGCAGUUCCUGGUUAGGAGUGAUUGUUUGAACCCGGAUAAGGCGGCCCUUGGGCUUGAUACCUUUAGGUGAUCGUAUGUAGGAAAUUCUUUAAGAAAGAAGAGAAAUUUUUAAGGGACAAGAUAUUUAUCCGCAAGGUAGAGACUUCUUUUAUUCUUGUGCGUAAUAGUUACACAUGUGUACAAGAUUUUUUCCAGGGCUCGAGCAGUCUAUGCGAGCAUGGUUCAUUUGACCGUUUGGCCUUUACAGUAAAUUACUAUUGAUUGAGCCGAGACCAUUCAAUCAUAAAGUUUCUUUCCUUUCUAAAAUCGUUAUCCGAGGCUAAUGCCCCCUAGUGUUUGGGGCCGAUCGUAGAUAGGCCUCGAAUACUAUUGUCGUGAUCUUCGAUACCGGUUCGUAACCGGCCUUCAAUUCUAAUUUAGCACGAUUUACUGUUGCCUCAUUAAAAACCUUGCCAGAAAACCCAUUUGGGACAAAAUCGGUUCAAGGGAAAAAGAGUGCAACACAUGCUUUCAAGCCUAAAGAUUGUAUCAUACUUUGAUGAUCGGCUGAAGGUGUUAGUUCGGAAUGCAAAUAAAUAAAAGGAAAUGAAUGAGGUCGUACCUUAACAGUAGUAUCGCUUCAAGUGAGAUAUGUUCCAGUUGUUCGGUAGUUGCUCACCGUUCAUUGUUCCGAGUUUGUACGAUCCUUUACCGGUGAUCUCGAUAAUUUGAUAAGGGCCUUCCCAGUUUGGUCCCAACUUCCCUUUGUUCUGGUUUUAGGUAUUUAGCGUGACCUUCCUUAAUGCCAAGUCCACGAUAUUGAAAUAUCGAAGGUUGGCCCUUCGAUUGUAAUAUCUCUCGAUCCACUGUUUUUGGGCGGCCAACCGGACAAAGGUUGCUUUGCGCCUUUCGUCUAAUAGAUCUAGGCUCGUAUUCAUAGCCUUGUCGUUUGAUUCCUUGGUUGCGUAUCAGAACCUGAGACUUGGUUCUCCGACUUCUACCGGUAUCAGAGCUUCGGCGCCAUAAACCAAUGAGAACGGGGUGGCCUCGGUACUGGACUUCGAUGUCGUAGGGUAUGCCCAUAAGACUUCGGGAAGGAUUUCCUUCCAUUUUCCUUUGGCGUCGGUCAACCUCCUUUUGAGGUUUUGGAGUAUGGUUUUGUUGGUCGAUUCUGCUUGUCCGUUCCCACUAGGGUGGUAGGGUGUCGAUAGGAUCCUUUUGAUCUUAUGAUCUUCGAGAAACUUGCUUACUUUGCUGCCGAAGAAUUGUUUCCCGUUGUUGCAUACGAUCUCGGCCGGCAUCCCAAACCGGCAUAUGAUGUGGUCCCUAAUGAAAUAAAUGACUUCUUUCUCCCUGAUCUUUUCGUAGUCCUGGGCUUCCACCCACUUAGAAAAAUAGUCAGUCAUAAACAAUAUAAAUUGAGCCUUACCAGGUGCCCACGGAAGGGGGCCAACGAUAUCCAUUCCCCACUUCAUGAACGACCAUGGUGACAAAACCGAAUGCAGUAGCUCCCCGGACUGAUGAAUCAUCGGAGUGUGUCUUUGACAUUCAUCACAUUUUCGUAUGAACUCCUUCGCGUUCUUUUCCAUAUCGGUCCAGUAGUAGCCGGCUCUGAUUAUUUUUCGAACCAAUGAUUCAGCGCCUGAAUGAUUUCCAAAGGUGUCUUCGUAGAUUUCCCUCAAAACGUACUCGGUAUCCCCUGGUCCUAGACAUAUCGCGAGUGGGCCAUAGAAUGUUCUUCUGAACAGGGUUCCAUCUUCGGACAGGCUAAACCGGGCUGCCUUUGUACGCAGGGCCCUCGAUUCUUUUGUAUCCAAGGGUAUUUUUCUGGUCUUCAGAUAUUCUAUAUAUUUAUUUAUCCAGUCCCAAGUUAGGCUCGUUGAGUUAAUCUCGGUAUGGACCUCUUACAUUACUAAUCUCAUAAGUUAUAUGACUGCCCCCGAGUUAAACUCGUCGUCCUCGACCGAUGAUCCUAAGUUAGCAAAGGCAUCGACCUCACUGUUUUGAUCCCGAGGUACGUGUUGCAAAGUCCAUUCUUUGAACCGAUGUAAUGUUACUUGCAACUUAUCCAGGUACCUUUGCAUUCGUUCUUCUCUGACCUCGAAUGUCCCAUUAACUUGGUUUACCACAAGAAGGGAGUCGCACUUGGCUUCGAUCACCUCUGCCCCAAGCUUUUGGCUAGUUCGAAACCUACAAUCAUGGCCUCAUAUUCGACCUCGUUGUUAUUCAAGUUCACACUUCUAAUAGAUUGUCUAACUACAUUUCUUGUUGGUGGCUUCAAUAUAAUGCCAUGUCCGGACCCUUUUGCGUUCGAGGCGCCGUCCGUAAAGAGGGUCCAUAUCCCCGAAGAGGUCCCUGAGUUGAUUAAUAACUCUCUUUCGACCUCGGGUAUUAGGGUCGGCAUAAAGUUGGCCACAAAGUCUGCCAAAAUUUGAGAUUUAAUGGCGAUCCGGGGUCAAUAUUCAAUAUCGAACCCACUGAUUUCCACGGCCCACUUGGCCAACCGGCCCAAGAGCUCGGGGCUUAUGCAUAACAUUCCUCAACGGGUAAGUAGUCACGACACAUAUGGGGUGACACUAGAAGUAUGAUUUUAACUUUCUAGAGGCGCUUAGCAAAGCGAAAGCCAGCUUUUCUAGGUGAGACAUACCUUGUUCUUCCUGGACCAGGACUCCACUUACCGCUAUCUCCGAUACUACCAAGUACAAGUAUAGUUGUUCGUCUGUCUUCGGCAUGUGAAGCAGCGAUGGGCUCGAUAGAUACCGCUUGAGCUCCUCCAAGGCCCGUUGGCACUCCGGGGUCCAUGAUAAGUUAUUCCUUUUCUUCAAUAGUGUGAAGAACCGGUGGAUCUUAUUGGAGGACCUCGAAAUCAAUCGCCCCAGGGCAUCUAUGCGCCCGGUUAAUCUUUGCACGACCUUCACAUUGUCCACAACCGUGAUAUAUUCGAUGGCUUUGAUCUUGUCGGGGUUGAUCUCGAUUCCUCGGUUGGAUACCAUGAACACGAGGAAUUUACCUGAUCCAACUCCAAACGCACAUUUCUCUAGGUUCAGCUUCAUAUUGUAUUUCUUCAAUAUGCUGAAGGUUUCCUGCAAAUGUUUUAAAUGGUCCUUUGCUCGCAGGGACUUAACCAAUAUAUCGUCAAUGUAAACCUCCAUUGAUUUUCCUAUUUAUUCUUCGAACAUCCGGUUUACUAGGCGUUGGUAAGUGACACCAGUAUUUUUUAAUCCGAAUGGCAUUACGUUAUAGCAGUAUGUGCCGUACUUAGUGAUGAAGGAGGUUUUUUCCUAUUCAUUCGGGUUCAUCCGUAUUUAGUUGUACCCGGAGUAGGCAACGAGAAAACUUAAGAUCUCGUGGCCGGCCGUGGCAUCGAUCAUGCAAUCGAUUUUUGGCAAAGGGAAGGAGUCCUUGGGACAUGCCUUAUUCAAAUCCUUAUAGUCUACACACAUUCUUAAUUUAUUCCCUUUUUUAGAGACUACCACUACAUUUUCUAACCAAUCCGGUUAUUUGACCUCCCGAAUGGACCCUAUUUUAAGGAGUUUAGAUACCUCGUCCUUGAUGAAAGCAUUUUUUUACCUCGGACUAGGGUCUCCUCUUCUGUUUGACCAGGUGGAACUUCGGGUCCAGGCUCAGUUUGUGAGUGGUUAUCUCCAGCGGGAUCCCUGUUAUAUCAAGGUGGGGCCAAGCAAAAUAAUAUUCAUUAGCUAUAAGAAAUUGAAUGAAUUUUUUCCUGAGCUCGGGGAUUAACCCCGUACCCAAGUAUACCUUUUGAUUGGGAAAAUGUUCACUCAAUGCGACUUGCUCUAGUUCCUCGACUGUUAAUUUUGUAGCAUCUGAGUCAUCGGGGGCAAUGAAAGAUCUGGGGACCCCGUAAUCAUCGUCUUUAUCAGUCCCCUGUUUCUCCGAUUGAGUCAGGACUGGUGUCGGUAAUUCCUAUUUAGCUUCUUGCUUUGCGACCGAUCCCGACCCCUUUGUCGUUGCAAGUGCGGAUAUCAGAAUCGCCUCUUCGACCGUAAACAUCUCCUUUGCGGCUGACUUUUCUCCGUAGAUUGUUUUAAUCCCACCUGGUGUUGGGAAUUUUAACACUUGGUGCAGAGUCGAGGGCACUGCCCUUAUGCUGUGGAUCCAUGGCUUCCCUAACAAAGCGUUGUACCUCAUGUCUCCUUCGAUCACAUAAAACUUAGCUUCCUGGAUGGUCCCGGCGGUGUUCACCGGUAAUGUUAUCUCCCCCUUAGUGGUUUCACAUGCUAUGUUGAAUCCGUUUAUUACUCGGACUGCAAGCACAAUUUGAUCUUGUAGACUGAGCUGCUCCACGACCCUCGAUCGGAUGAUGUUGGCCGAGCUACCUGGAUCAAUUAACACGCGCUUAACUCGAAAUUUAUUUACGAGUACAACUAUUAUUAGUGCAUCAUUGUGGGGCUACACGAUCCCUUCCACGUCCUUGUCGUUGAAAGACAAGGUUCCUUCAUAUAUGUAAUCUCGAGUCCGUUUUUCCCUCGUGAUGGACACUAUGGUGCGCUUCAACAAUGGCCCUUGAGGGACAUCGACCCCACCGAUGAUCAUGUUAAUGACGUGUUGAGAUUCAUCUUGUUCGGUCUGUUUGUUAGAAUCCCUAUUCUUGAAAUGAUUCUUGGCUCGGUCGCUCAGGAUUUUUGAAGAUCCCCGUUGUUGAAUAGUCGGGCAACUUCCUCUCUCAACUGUCGGCAAUCCUCCGUUCUGUGGCUAUGAGUGCCAUGAUAUUUACACAUCUGGUUAGGAUCCCUUUGGGUUGGAUCAGAUUAUAGAGGUCGAGGCCAUUUGGUAUCUUUGAUGCAUCCGAUAGCUGAUACAAUGGCGGCAUCAUCGACGUUAAAGUUAUAUUCCGAUAACCUCGGUGCUUCUUUAGGCUCGAUGGGCUUGUCGAAGCUGUUUUUGCUCAUGAGUCCCCGAUUGCUCCGACCUCGAUCACUUAUCCUUUCAUUUCUCAUAGAGUUUCGCCCGGACCCACUGCUUCUUCGGUCUCCAUUAUACAGCUGAUACGAUCCCUGUUUGAUCUCGAUUUACGAUCGAUGUCUCUCUUGACUCUGUCGAUAAUUCUAACGGGUUAAAUGGACCCCGAGUUGAUCAUCUUCGACUCUGAUUUUCGAUUGAUACUGGUUAUGCACGUUGGCCCAAGUAAUGGCCGGAUAUUCUAUCAGGUUUUGUUUCAACUGUUGUGAAGCCAUCGAGCUUCGAACAUUGAGCCCUUGGGUGAAAGCCUGAGCGGCCCAAUCAUCAGCGACUAGUGACAGGUCUAUUCGUUCCAUUUGAAACCGGGACACGAACUCUCUGAGCAUCUCGCUAUCCUUGUGUUUUACUUUGAAAAGGUUCGAUUUCCUGGUCUCGACCUUGAUGUCCCCGGUGUGUGCUUUCACGAAAGAAUCCGCAAGCAUAGCAAAUGAGUCAAUAAAAUUAGGAGGUAAGUUGUGAUACCAUAUCAUCGCUCCUUUUGAUAGGGUCUCUCCGAACUUCUUCAACAAGACAGACUCGAUCUCAUCAUCCUCCAAGUCGUUCCCUUUGAUGGCACAUGUGUAAGAGGUUACAUGCUCAUUUGGGUCGGUCGUUCCGUUGUACUUAACAAUUUCGGGCAUGCGAAAUUUCUUAGGGAUCGGCUUUGGAGCCGCGCUCGGAGGAAAAGAUUUUUGCACGAACUUCUUGGAAUCCAGGCCUUUCAAUAUCGGCGGUGCUCCUGGGAUUUGGUCUACCUUGGAAUUCUAGGUUUCCACCUUUUAUUCAUUAGCUUCGAUUUUCUUCUCCCCCGAUUCUACUCGUUUUGUCAGUUCUUCGAGCAUCUUUAUGAUCUCGGGGUUAGCCCCCGAUUCAUUUUCGUUUGACCUUUCUGCGACCUGUUCAUCAUUGCGGGUGACUUCCCGGGGUGGAUCGGGUUCAACUCUGUUCGAUGCAUGGCUUUGGUUCUGUAACUGAGCUAUCACCGCCUGUUGAGCCUGUAACAUUUCAAAGAUCACCCGUAAACUGAUCCCGUCUCCUCCAAUGUUUUGUGUAUUUUGAGCUGCCGAUCGGGCUCUACCACGGAUGAUAUUCUCGGGGUCGGUAGGCAGGUUAGUGUCGAUAGCCACAUGUGAAUUAGCGCCAAUCGGGUCCGCAGCCGGAAUUCCGAUGGGAUCAACGGGCGGUACCUCGUCACCGGGCGCUAUAUUGUUAUUUUCACCGUGAUGACCAGACUCAUUGUCAACAUGUAGGGGUGCUGAUUGAGAGUUUGACAUUUUAAAUUUUAACCUGCAAUUAGAGGCACUUCAAAGAACAAGUGUAAAGUAGUGUGUGCUAUGGAGAUUUGUAUCAAAUAACCACUAUUAUCCUUAGCCCCACAGUGGGCGCCAAACAGUUUACCCUCAAAAUCGGAUAACAAUUGAAUUUGUAAGUGGGUUUAAGGAUAUGUGGAUUAACUUCACACAAAAAGAUAAAUUAGAUUGCAAUUGAAAUAAAUAAUGGUAAAGUAAAUGCAAACCACACGAAUUGAACAGUCUUAGCCUUGGAAGGUUAAUCACCCUCGAGCCAGGUACACUUCGAUCAGUGUCAGGACACAGAAGAACAAGAGCGUAAAGAGAAAUAUAAUGAUGUAUUGGCUUUGAAUGCGUGUUACAAUGUGUUCUAUAUAUUUAUCAGACCCCCUUUAUAUAGUAGAGGAGUCCUACUUUAGGUACAAUUCUAUAAAGGGUAAAAAUCCCUUGAUUUGUUGAUACCCGGUUCCUUACUGAUACACGCCGAUAUUCCCUCCGCAAUAUCUGCCCGGUUACAGAUAUUUCGGUCUUAUGUUGGUUAUGCUAACAAUAUUUCUUAGAGCUCGUUCGGGGCUAGGGUCGACUCCGAGGUCUCGGACUCAAUAUUCUCGAAGGCAGGUAUCCUAACCCCGGGAUCUAGCCCGGUGUGACUCGGUGCCGAUCUUCAGCCUUACAUUGUCAUGUUCCGAGUCCGUCCUUUCAUGUCGUAGGAGAACUCGAUCUCGACCGUAUACAAAAAGAAAGAUAAAAUUUGCUAUUACAAGACAAGGGUAAGUAGCAUAAGUGCAUUGACCAGUAAUAAGGUAAUUUUUCCUUCUUUUUUUUUCCAACACUGCACAAUUCAGCAACUUGUCUACUGCGGUGGCUGUAGAAAAGUCAUUGUCACGUUGCAUAAAGAUAAAUGAUUGAAGCUAAUUAUGCUAAGUAUUUAAUAUUGCUUCAGGAUCAUUGAAGCUGACCUUUAUAGUAGAAUAUACUCUAAAUCUGAGUAUAUUCAAUGUGCUGUGUUAACAAGCUGGGCAGAUGAAUUAAAUUACCUUUAUUUUGAGCAUUUAAUCACAUAUAAUCAGUACAUUCUCGCAUCAUUUGGGGGCAAUUGUUUAUAUACCAUCAAUGGUCGAAAGUAAUAAUCUAAUUCUCGCAUUAUUCUACAGUCGCUACACUCAGAUAUGAAUAUACAACUAGCCUUGCUUUUGAAAUUGGAUAGCACCAGGUGGUUAAACUCAGUUGGGAGUGCUAUUUUUGCCCAUAUACUUGGCCAGUGACUGUUCUGCCAGUGAAGGAGAACAACUGGCUUCAAGGAUCGGAGUAAGCCAGUGACUGUUCUGCCAGUGACUGUUCUUUUAUCUAAUUUUAGUCAAUUUGAUGGGUAAGCCUGAUACUUACCUUCCAAGAUAGUUAUGAUGUGAACCUUAAUUAUAAUUUGGAUUUCCUUCUGUGGAUGAAGUGAAUUUUGGAGCAACAGUAUAGGACCAUUCAAUAUUUGUGAAAGAACAACUGCAUUCCUUUCCACUUAAAAGAAUUGCCUUUUAUAUUGACUCAUUUUAUUUCCAAUGCUGCCAAAUCUAUCGAUUUAUAUUUUCAUCAAUGCUGCCAAAUCUGUACUUAUAUUUUCGUUGAUGCUGCCAAAUCUAUUGGCUCAUUUUAUUUGUAGAAAAUAUCCAAAACUAAUAUUGAGAAUCGAAAAAAAUUGAGGUAUCCACACACAGUUGGAAAGGCAAGUUUUGCUCUAAUCCGCGAGGUUUGAUGUUUUAUCUUAAGUUUUUUAAAUAUAAACUUGUUAGCUUUACAUGGAAAGUUUUCCUAUCAUUUUUAUGUAACUAGCCAAAAAGAUGGAAACUUAUGAUAAUCUAUCAAGUAAGGACAUCUUUGUGGCUACAAGAAAAAGAAAACCUGGUCGAGUAUACAAAGCGUCAUAUGAGGAUACAAUUAGUAAAAUUGUACAAAAUUUCUAAUUUAAAGUUUGUCGAGAUCAUUUAUUUGUUCUUAAUUAUUGACUCAGUUUGUAGGCUGAAAUAGAGAAAAUACAAUCAACUCAAGAAAGUGUAAUGACCUGGCCGGUAGUUUUGAGUGUUUUAGCCCUGAUCCUCUAUUUAAUGCCCCCUCUAUGCUAUAUUGUGAUUAUGUGACUUACUGGAGCGUUUGGUUUUGAUUUCGGGUGAGUCCCAAAGUAAAACGGGACACAUAGUCCCUAAGUUUGAGCUUUAAGUUGAAAGAGUUGACCAUAGUUUGACUUUUAUGUAGACGACCCCGGAAUGAAGUUUUGACGGUUCCAAUAGCUCCGUAUGGUGAUUUUAGACUUAGGAGCAUGUCCGGAUGUUGAUUUGGAGGUCCAUAGGUUGUUUCAGCGUGAAUUGGCGAAAGUUGGAAAGUUGAAGGUUGAAAAAAUUGACCGGGAGUUGACUUUAUUGAUAUCUUGGUCGGAUUUGGAUUCCGUAAAUUGGAAUAUGUCCGUUAUGUCAAUUAUGACUUGUGUACGAAAUUUGAGGCAAAUCGGAGUUGUUUUGGUAUGAAUGAGCAUUAGUUUUGGAAUUCGGAAGUUCAUAAAUUUCUUAGGCUUAAAUCGAUACGCGAUUUAUGAUUCUAGUAUUGUUUGAUGUGAUUUGACACUUUGAGCGUGUUAAUACGGUGUUUUAGGACUUGAUGGUAUAUUUGGUUGAGCUCCCGGAGGCCUCAGGUGUAAUUCGGACCAUGUUCGGCGCUUUUCGGAACAUUGAAGAUUGCUGAAUCUGGUGCUUCUGGUUUCCUUAUAUACGAUCGCGAAUAGUAGUUUGGCACUGGGGGAGAUUUGCUAUACGCGAUCGCGAGAAGAGGUCUGCGAUCGCGGAAGGUUGGCUUUCAGUGAAUCACGAAUGCGUGAAGGAGAUUGCGUCCACGUAGAAGGAAUGGGGGGUUGCAGGUCCACGCGUUUUUGUUCAUCACGGUAGCGUGUACUGUCCCGCGAUCACGUAGCUUGAUAAAGGCAGUGUGUCGCGUUUGCGUUUGGUCUCCGCGUUCGCAGAGAGUUUUUUUGGGCAGCAACAUUUUUAUGCUUCGCGAACGCGAGGCAUUUUCCGCAUUCGCGAAGAAGGAAUCACCGACACCAUAACUUAAAUUUCAAAACGAGGGUUCUAGCUCUUAUUUCAUAAUUUGGACUUAGAGAGCUCGGGGUGAGGCGCAUUUUCGGGAGAUUUUUAGAGAGAUUAUUGGGAUAAGAAUUCCUAACUCGGUUUUGGUUAAAUUACACGAAUCUAUUAUUGUUUUUAUCAUCUAAUUAGGGAUUUGAGUUGGAAAUUUGGGGAAAAUGGUAUAAACUCCUUAAGCUAAAAUUUUGGAAUUUGAAAGGCGAGCUGAGGUCAGAUUUGAGUAAUUCUUGUAUGGUUGGAAUCGUUAUCAUAUGGAUGUACAGAUUUUAUAAUUUUUAUCGGGGUCCGAGAUGCUGGCCCAGGUUGACUUUUUAUUUCUUUGCAAAGAUCGUGAUUUUAUCAUUCGAAUUAGUUUCCUAUAGUUUAUAUUUAUGGUAUGAAGUUGUUUUGGCUAGAUUCGAGCCGUUCAGUGUUGGAUAAUCGAGGGGAAGGCCUACUAGUGGAUUGAUUUAGCGUGAUUUGAGGUAAGUGACUUGCCUAACUUUGUAGGGGGGGAGGAAUUACCUCUUAGGAUUUGUGUUGGUUGUGAUAAUUGUGAUAUGUGAAAGCCGUGUAUGCAAGGUGACGAGUGUGUACAUGGGCUAAAUGUGAAAAUUACCGAUUUUAGCUAUGUAGAUUCCUUUCAUGCCAUAAUUGAGUUACCUUAACAUGUUAUACUCAUCAUUUCUAGUCUAUUUUCACACGUCUACUUGUCUUAUUCUCUUACAAGCUAAUUUCCCUACAUGUUUAAUUAAAGUUCUUGUUUCCUUUAUUCCGUAUUCAAUAUUUGAUCGUUGAACUCUUUAAAUGAAUUUGUUAAAUCGUGGAAUAUCUUGUUGUUGAAAUUGGUAUUGAGAUAUAAAGGCCGUGAUUUACAUUGAGGCAAAGUGUUACAUUAUGAAAUACCAUCCAGUUGAGUUGUUAAUUCCGGUUGUUAUUGUUAAAACUCUUGUGUACAUUGUGGUUGAUCCAUGGGCUCUUUACUAUGAAAAUAUUGUAUUUGUUUGAAUUUUGUGGCAAGUUGUGAUAUUGGGCACUUGAGGUGCAAAUUGUGAUACAUUAUGAUAUUGAUACGCAUGCGGUGGUAUAAGGUUUUGGGGUUAAAACGCAUGCGGUAAGAUAAGGUGGUCUUGAUACGCGUGGCUAGUAGGGGAACUACUAGAAGUCAUGCAGUGUGAUAAGGUAGGCUAAAACGCGAGAUGCUAUUUCGGGAAAAUAAUUUUCAAAACUAAAUGUAAAGGCUCCUGCGGUGAUAUAAGGAAAGAUUGUGAUUUAUUCUUGUGAUUUGAGACUAUGAGGCGGUACCUCGAUAGUGACUCUUGUUGGCAUUUCUCCAUUUUUGCACUUGUUUUUGGUUGUUGUUUCCUUAGCAUAUUAUUAAUUGUCUUUCUCCGUGUUUCACUAAUUAUUUUGGUUCCAUGUAGCUAACCUUGAUAUGCUAAUUGUUGUUUAAAUUUCAUUACUGUCAUUAUUACUUUGCCUUACACUUGUUCAGUCUUUUAUUUAUUCCAGUAGGGCCUUGACCUGACCUCGUAACUACUCUACCGAGGUUAGGCUUAACACUUACUGGGUACUGUUGUGGUGUACUCAUGCUACGCUUCUGCACAUCUUUUUGUGCAGAUCCAUGUACCUCCUACCAGUCCAGACAUCAGUGAUUUGAGUCCGAGCGUGGAGAUUUCAAGGUAUACCUGCCAGCGUCCGCAGGCUUCGGAGUCCCCUUCUGACUUUAUUUCCUUAUUUGAUUUCCCUUUUAUAGACAUUGAUAUGUAGGAUUAUCCAGUACUAUUACUUAGAGCUUGUGACUUAUAUUUCGCCGGGUUUUCGGCAAUUAUGUAUAUACUGAAUUGUGGAGAUUUCAUUUAUACUAGUUGUUGGAUUUUGAGACUUUAAUUGUUAUUUCAGUUAUAUUCUGCAUGUUGUUAGGCUUACCUAAUCUUAGAGACUAGGUGCCGUCACGACAUUCUACGAAGGAAAAUUGAGAUCGUGACAAGUUGGUAUCAGAGCUUUAGGUUCAUAGGUAUUAUGAGUCACAAGCAAGUUUAGUAGAGUCUCGCGCAUCGGUACGGAGACGUUAGUGCUUAUCUUCGGGAGGCUAUGGAAAUGUUAGGAAAAGUUUCACUUCUUUGAUUCCUUAUCGUGCGAAUUUGUUGACUUCGAAAUUCUAAAUCUCUGUCUUUCUAUUCUCUCACUGAUGAGGAGGACACGCACAAUAGGAUCUGAUGAUCAGACACACGCGCCCCCUACUAGAGCCGUGAGAGUCUGGGUUAGAGGCCGAGGACGGGCAUAUGGUGUAGCCAGAGCACUUGCCCGAGCUGCUAUAGAGGAUCCACCAAUAGCUCAAGUUGAAAAGUAGGCACCUGAGAUGCCUGUUACUACCCCUGCACUUCGGGAGACUCUCGCCCAGUUUCUGCGUAUGUUCGGCACUUUGACUCAGACGGGGUUGAUUCUACUUGCUCCUACCACAUCUCAGGCCGGGGAGGAGCAUAGACUCCCGCCGCCCGCACCCCAGAGAAGCGGGUCCAGGUUGACUAGGUCCCAAAGGUCAUACCAGUGCAGCCGGUCCCCCCAGUUCAUCCCGAUGUUAGGGAAGCAACUUCCGAGGGGGAGCAGCUCAGGCUCGAGAGGUACAAGAAAUACCACCCUCCUACUUUCAGCGGUUUGGCUUUAGAGGAUGCCCAAGGUUUUCUUGAAAAGUGCCACCGUAUCCUCCGUACUAUGGGUAUUGUGGAGUCGAGUUGGGUUGCUUUCACUACGUUCCAGCUUAAUGGAGCGGCUUAUCAAUGGUGGCGGGCGUAUGAGUUGGGUAGCCCGGCCGAGGCAACUUCAUUCACCUGGGAUCAGUUCUUAGAGAUAUUUAUGAGAGAGUGUGCAGUGCUUGAGCAGUUGCGCCAGGGUUCUAUGACCGUAUCAGAGUAUGCAGUCCAGUUCAAUGAUUUGUCCAGGCAUGCACCAACCUUGGUUGCUACUGCCAGAGAGUGAGUUCGUCGAUUUAUCGAGGGGCUCAGCCCUGGUAUCAGAUUCAGCAUGGCCCGAGAGUUGGAGAUGAACAUCUCAUACCAGUAAGUAGUGGAGAUCGCUAUGAGAUUGGAGGGUAUGUGGUCUGUAGAGAAAGAGGAUAGGGAGGCCAAGAGGCCUCGAGAUCCUGGCACAUACAGUGGUGCCCUUGCCCCAGUUGCAGCCCUUCAUGGUAGGAGCUAUGUGAGUCGCCCUGUUCAUUCAGCACUUCCAGCUUCCUGCGGUAUUCCAGCCACUCCCAGGCCCCAGGUUACCCAUUAUGCACCACCACUGUCUAGUGCAUCUCCUACACGGGGUGCUUUCAACGGUCAGCCCAGCCGACCAGGACCGAACCAGUCCCAGCAGCCAUGUCCUCCGAGAGCUUAUUUUGAGUGUGGUGACACUCGACAUAUGGUGAGGGAUUGUCCAAGACUCAGGAGAGGUGCACCUCCACAGACUACUCAGAUCCCACGUAUUCUACAGGGCCCUCAGGUUUCUCAGGCCGUGGUUACCGCACCAGUUGCUACUCCACCUGCACACGACACAACUGGCACCCAGUGCCUGUAACUUACACCAAGCGAACCACUUGACCAUAUCUACCCAUUCAUGAUUAUUUCAAGGUUUGAAGUAUCACUUAAACAUUUGAAAUAUCGUCUUGAAUCGUUUGGUAAAAGUCUUUAUUUUAACUCAAAACAUAAGUAGGCCUUUGGCUAAGAUACAUAAGUGCGGAAUGAACAUAAGAGUUUAAGAAAAUAUAUAUUAAUAUCAUCUGAAUGACUAGACCUCCCCACAAUGUCACUAGAACCUCUAUGGACAUAAAUGGACAUAAUAAAAUCACUAGAUAUAAGCCCACCAAUAAAAUAACGAGCUUACCAAGUAUAGUAGAGAAUGCAAAAAACGUCUAGCUUGUGAUGUCAACUCCAAUUCCACGAUAUCUGAAAUAUCAAAUAAGUUGCCCCACGUAGGAGGCUGAGCACAAUUUCAUAGAAAUCGUACCCCGUUAGUAUCAUUGACUCCUUCCGAUAAGGUUGGAACGAUACUUCAGGGAUACGUAAAAUACAUGAAGUAAAAUAAGUAUGACAAUUCAUAAAAUGAAUAACGAAAAGAAAUAAACAUUAAAUGCAUUUCAGUAAACUCUAAACAUUUCAAUAGUCUAUAAAUCUUUCAAUAGGCUGUAAAUCUUUCAAUAGGCUAUAAAUCUUUCAAUAGUCUACAAAACUUUAAAUAGGGAGUUCCAAUAGUUAUAAUAACAACGAUAAUUGAUGUCUAUAUGUUGACAAUCCCCUGAUCAACCUGGGCGUCUCUCCCGAAGGAUAUUGAUGAUAGUAACUAUCGCCUGGUCACGAGGCCGCCUCACCCAUUACUAUGGGAUUUUGACGAUAGUGCUACCACAGUAAGGUGUCUCAUUAGACAAUAUAUGGUACACAAUGAAACGUGUGUUCUGUAGCGAUAAUAAUUAUGGUCCUCCCAAAUAAUAUUUUCUUUAAAUUGUAUGACCCAUAGGUCCUAUAAAUAUUUUCGAUAAUUGGCUCCCAAGGCCCAUAGUUCAAUUAUAUAUGUUGAUAAGGUUCCUUUGACUUCGAUAAAAUGAUAACCUUUUUCAAAAUAUCUCGAUAAAUUAUAAAAUCACAAGAUAAUGAGUUUCAAUAUUUGCGAUAAUCACCUGAUCCAAGUCAAGUAGAAAAAUAUGAUUUAAAGUGUCAUCAUUCAAUAAAAGACAAUAAAUGACCAACAAUACAAUUUAUGCAUGUACGAUACUAUAAGAUAGCAUAGAGUAUAUCAUAAUGUUAAAAACAUGGACGGUAAGGUUCGAUCGCUCCAACAAACCAAACUAACAUUUAAAGAAACUUCAGCAAGUAUUAGAAUUCAUGGAAUUCAUCAAAUAAUCCUUAGGAGAAGGCACAUCUUAACUUACCUCAUCUUAGCUUUCCAAAUUACUCUAAACUUACCCAACAAACUCAACUCGUUCAACGAUAUCAAUCUAUAUCAAUCUAUAACAUUUUCGGGCUCAUAAUCGGCAUCAAGCCAUCUAAUAUCCUUAUUUUCGAUUACUCCGACAAUUUAAUUAACUCCAAAAUAUCAUUUUAAAGCGAGUAUCAACUUUAAGAGAUUAUUAGAAUCAUUAUUUAACUCAAUCCUUAUCGCUAGUUACUAUUCAUAUUCCCCUUCCUUAGCUCUUUAAUGUCAAGAACACCCAUUUUGGGGUUAUUUUAAUAUCAAGUUUCCAUCACCUUUUUCAUACUCAAAUAUACUCAAUAACAUCAUUUGAACUUCAUAAUUGAAGAGGGAGCGGUAGAAUUACCUUGUAGUAGAAAAAUCUAGCUUUUCCCCUUUUUCAUGUUCUUGAAUAAUUUCUUUACAAAUCUAGAAUUUCAAUGAGUUGGGUGUUAAUACUUAUAUUAAAUGAAUGAAAUCUACUCAAAAUAACCAUUUAGUACUCACCUAGAACUUCAAUAAAUGUGCCGCUAUUGCAUACCAGAUGAGCUGAUACGCUGCUCUUUCUUCUCUAAACAAGAAUGGCCCAAAGAAGAAUCUUGACUCCACUUUACAAAAUUGAAUGGUCUGCGUCCGUCGUCCAGUGGGUAUAGUUUUGAGCUUAAGAGCUCACUUGCAGUGCUCUAUUCCACCAUCCUUUUGGAUCUGAUUUCCCUUUUCAGAUUAUGUGUUACAUGUUAUUAUCUUGAUAGCUAAGUGAGGCUUAGUGUUCACACUAAACAGAUUAAAUAUGCCAAUUUCUUAAAUAUCAAUUAUGUGGGCACCUUAGUGGGCUUGACCAUAAAUUCCCACGUGUAAA